rnacentral:lncRNA from 12 species
UGCAAUUAAAUAGCACCAGAAUUAACUGGAAGAAUUCUGUACAAAUUCAAAUUCAAAAUUUUUACUUUUACUUUCACCUCCACAGAUGAAGAAAGCAAGGCAGAGAGACCACUGGAAAAAGAGAGAUCGAUGAGAGCUGUCAGAAAUGAAGGCUUAGUAGAACAGCAUCUGGAAGCCAAGGACAUUUGCCAAGAGAAAAGAUCCCAAGAAAACACACAGCCCGGGUUGCCCAGAGGAAGAGCUAAGUCUACAGGUUCCAAACUGGAUAGGGAAUCAAAAAUCCUGGGAAGUAUCAUGAGGCUGAGGAAAAGGUCCUGCGUGCUCCAGAGUUCGGGGGCCCCCUGAUCCCGCCCAGCCCCCUCCAGGAGCGGAAGGGUUAAGCAUGAUGAGGAAGAAGAGGAAGCGAGGCGCGUCCCCCGGCCCAUGCCGCAGCCACGGCCGCGACCCCGCCACGGCGCCCGCGCCGCCGCCCUCGCCGGAGCCCACGAGACCUGCAUGGACGGGCAUGGGCUGCAGAGCAGCUCCUUCCUGCGCCGCCGCCGCCGCCGCCGCCGCCGCCGCCCCCGCCGGGGCUGAGCAGCGCCGCCGCCCGCAGCCCUGCCCGCCGCCCCGCCCGCCGCCCCCGGCGCUGCUGCCGCUGCUGCUGCUGCUCGGCCUCGGGCUGCUCCACGCAGGUACGCGGCGCGCGCGGGGGGAGCCCGCCCGGGGCCCCGGCUUUGUCCGCAGACGCGCCCGGGCCGCAGGCCCCGCCGGGCGGCGCGGGGAGCGCGGGGG